UACGUAGGUGGCAAGCGUUGUCCGGAUUUACUGGGCGUAAAGGGCGCGUAGGCGGCCUGUUAAGUCGAACGUGAAAUCCCCGGGCUCAACCCGGGAACUGCGUCCGAUACUGGCAGGCUUGAAUCCGGGAGAGGGAUGCGGAAUUCCAGGUGUAGCGGUGAAAUGCGUAGAUAUCUGGAGGAACACCGGUGGCGAAGGCGGCAUCCUGGACCGGCAUUGACGCUGAGGCGCGAAAGCCAGGGGAGCAAACGGG
rnacentral:rRNA from 1 species